CCAUAAAUUUCUCUACCUUAUUGCAGUGCAAGCUUUGUCUUUCUUAUCUCGAACAUACUUCGGAAUGUAGCUCUCUGCGCCAAAAUUUUUAGCGAGGCUUCUGCUUGUGUUGUUGAUGGCGCUCACUUUGCCGUUCAGUAGCUCGUCAACAGAAUUUGUCCGUGAAGCAUCGAUAUUCUUCUCAAGCUCCGUAUACAAACGUUGUAGAGAUUCUAAAUCGUUUGCCGCAAUCGCAAACUGAAUAUUGUCGAAAAUGUUUCCAGAUAUUGCUGGCAGAGAUCGCUCGUAAAAAUAUAAUAGUAAAAUUUCUUACAUGCCAGACGUUCGAAAUAGUAAACAUUCAGGAGGUAUAAAACACCAAAUGCCGUGUUGACGAAUACCCCACGCUGCGAAUCCGUCGAAAAUAUAAGCCAAUGACAGUGCAGAAUAUUUUUAAAUGGUUCAAUCGGUAGACUCAUACAGAGCCCCUGAAUCUGCAAAUCCGUCAGGCCUCCCCACAGAUCCGUCGCAAAUGGCUGUAACCAUGGAAAUGAGCGCGUCAGCCAAUCAGAUAGUCGGAUUCAACCCCCGAAUCCGUCAACAUUCAUGCGUAAGACCGCUGUUCGUGACUGACUAACAUUACUU